rnacentral:rRNA from 1 species
UACAGAGGGUGCGAGCGUUAAUCGGAAUUACUGGGCGUAAAGCGUGCGUAGACGGUUUAAUUUAAGUCGGGUGUGAAAGCCCCGGGCUCAACCUGGGAAUUGCAUUCGAGACUGAAUAGCUAGGGUACGGUAGAGGGAAGUGGGAAUUUCCGGUGUAGCGGUGAAAUGCGUAGAUAUCGGAAGGAACAUCAGUGGCGAAAGGCGGCUUCCUGGACCCAGUCCGACGUCAGGCACGAAAGCCGUGGGGAGCAAACAGG